UUACAGGUAAAAACAUGCACCUUAACACACGCUCCCUCUAGGUUACAGGUAAAAACAUGCACCUUAACACACGCUCCCUCUAGGUUACAGGUAAAAACAUGCACCCUAACACACGCUCCCUCUAGGUUACAGGUAAAAACAUGCACCUUAACACACAGGGCUCCCUCUAGGUUACAGGUAAAAACAUGCACCUUAACACACAGGGCUCCCUCUAGGUUACAGGUAAAAACAUGCACCUUAACACACAGGGCUCCCUCUAGGUUACAGGUAAAAACAUGCACCCUAACCCAGCCUUCUAUAGCUACACACACCUUCCAUCAACAAGCUCAAG